GUCUCCGUAGUUUAAUGGAUAAAACAGAGGUUUCCGGAACCUCAGAUGGGAGUUCAAAUCUCUCCGGAGACG
rnacentral:tRNA from 1 species